AUCAAUUCUCAUAGUUGGAAUGGCAGUUGGAAGCUCUAAACUCUUAGUUUUCAAAAGAGGAGGCAGAGGCUGAAGGAGGAAGAAUGACCGACUUUCUCAGGCUCAUGAACCUCAUCAGUGGCCUCAUAAGGGUUCCUACAAGGUGGAAGACAAUCAACUUGAUUGGUGGAACCAAGUGGUUGGAUUCAUGUUCCAUUGACUGACACUCAUAAGAAGCCAACUCGCACAUUCAUGAUACAGAUUGCUGUUCUAGCCAAUCACAGAAUGGAAGAGAUACCCACAUGAGACAAAUUAAAAUAUACACA